UUCGUGAGAAAGUGGAAGAUGGCACAAUUGAGCUGAUCUACUGCGACACGACCACUCAGGUUGCAGAUAUCUUCACAAAAGCACUACCCCGAGAUCGAUUUCAAGUCCAUCGCGAAGGGCUGGGACUUUCUCCACUGAUGAGCAUCACUCGUGAUGGCCACAGUGCCAGUGGGAGUGUUGAGAGUGGCCCUGUGCCACGUGGUUAGUCCACGUGGAGAGACACGAGUCUUCAUUGGUUCACCAUGUCACACAUAUGUACAUUUUUCAUUCCAUAUAUGCUAUGACGGAUCUUGAGCACCAUCACACGGUUUC
rnacentral:lncRNA from 1 species